rnacentral:tRNA from 1 species
GCGCCCUUAGCUCAGCAGGAUAGAGCGACAGCCUCCUAAGCUGUAGGCCAGAGGUUCGAAUCCUCUAGGGCGCGCCA